rnacentral:tRNA from 1 species
GGAGACGCUACGGACUUAAAAUCCGUUGGCUUUAUUGACCGUGAGGGUUCAAGUCCCUCUACCCCCA